GACGAACGCUGGCGGCGUGCUUAACACAUGCAAGUCGAACGGGCCCGCUCUCUUUUUUGGGGGUGGGUUGAGUGGCGAACGGGUGAGUAUCACGUGAGUAACCUGCCCCCUGCUCCUGGAUAACUGCUUGAAAGGGCGGCUAAUACGGGGUGUGCCGGCUGGUCCGCAUGGGCCUGGUCGGGAUAGUUUCAUCUUCGGGUGUUUCGGUGGGUGAUGGGCUCGCGGCCUAUCAGCUUGUUGGUGGGGUGAUGGCCCACCAAGGCGGUGACGGGUAGCCGGCCUGAGAGGGUGGGCGGCCACACUGGGACUGAGACACGGCCCAGACUCCGGCGGGAGGCAGCAGUGGGGGGUAUUGAACAAUGGGCGGAAGCCUGAGGCAGCGACGGCGCGUGAGGGAUGGAGGCCUUCGGGUGGUGAACCUCUUUCUCCGGUGGUGAAGGCCCUGUCCGUUGCGGCGGGGUUGACGGUAGCCGGGGAUGAAGCGCCGGCUAACUACGUG
rnacentral:rRNA from 1 species